rnacentral:tRNA from 1 species
CCAUAGCUCAGUUGGGAGAGCGCUUGCAUGGCAUGCAAGAGGUCGUCGGUUCGAUUCCGUCUGGCUCCACCA